GCGGGAUAACCCGGAGAAAUCCGGCCUAAUACCGCAUGUGGCCGAGGGGAGGCAUCUUCUUUCGGCCAAAGGAGGCAACUCCGGAGACGGAUGGGCAUGCGUGACAUUAGCUUGUUGGCGGGGUAACGGCCCACCAAGGCGACGAUGUCUAGGGGUUCUGAGAGGAAGGUCCCCCACACUGGUACUGAGACACGGACCAGACUCCUACGGGAGGCAGCAGUGAGGAAUAUUGGUCAAUGGGCGAGAGCCUGAACCAGCCAAGUCGCGUGAAGGAUGACGGCCCUACGGGUUGUAAACUUCUUUUGUCAGGGAGCAAUUGAGUCCACGUGUGGGCUUAGCGAGAGUACCUGAAGAAAAAGCAUCGGCUAACUCCGUGCCAGCAGCCGCGGUAAUACGGAGGAUGCGAGCGUUAUCCGGAUUUAUUGGGUUUAAAGGGUGCGUAGGCGGAAUAUCAAGUCAGCGGUAAAAAUUCGGGGCUCAACCCCGUCGUGCCGUUGAAACUGAUGUUCUUGAGUGGGCGAGAAGUAUGCGGAAUGCGUGGUGUAGCGGUGAAAUGCAUAGAUAUCACGCAGAACUCCGAUUGCGAAGGCAGCAUACCGGCGCCCAACUGACGCUGAAGCACGAAAGCGUGGGUAUCGAACAGGAUUAGAUACCCUGGUAGUCCACGCAGUAAAC
rnacentral:rRNA from 1 species